rnacentral:lncRNA from 1 species
CUCCUCCAUUUCUGCGGCUGCUACUUUCCUCUCUUCCCCUCCUUCCCUAGCUAAACUAACGAAGCAACCCGAGGUGGAGGCUCACACUCCAAACAGGACCACAAGGACUUCCCGCAGGUCCCCUCUGCCCCUCCUGCCUUCUGCUUUCUUCAGGCUCUCUCCCGGCUUCUCCCCUCUCCAGCUUCUCAGGAAAGUCAGAAACAGGGCAGAGGGCUCAGGGUUGGGAAGAAUCUUACUAGACAUCUUACUGGUUCUGUUCAAAGCUUGAAUUAUUUUUAGGAAAGUGCUCUUUCAAGGGCAGUGUACACUCACUGCCGCUGGAGAGCUGGUCUGAAGGCAGAUUUUGAUCCACUAGGUCUAGGGUGGAGUCUGAAGUUCUGUGUUUCUAACAAGUGCUCAUUUACUGCUCAUGGACCUUUACUCAUACUUUGCAUAAAAAGGAUCUAAAAAGGAGCCAUCCAUUUUCUUAAAUAUCCAUGGGGCAUUUACCACCUGCUUAAGAAACUGACAGAAUCUUUAACUCAAACUGACUACAAAAUAAAGAGAAUUUGUUAAUUCAUAACAAUUUCCAGAAGUUCAGGUAUAGUGAGAUCCAGGUGCACAAAGGCUGGCAUCAGGAAUUAGUCUCUGUCCACCUCUCAGUUCUGCCUUCUUCCAGCCUUGCUCUACCCUCCAAUUGUCCAUACUCUUAAUGAUGGAAAAGAAUAGGCUUCCAGCACCUCCAAGCUUACAUCCUGCCAGAUUGGCAAUCACACUAUAAACCAGUCAAUGUGACCAAGAGCAUGGAAUGUGCUGAAUACCCAGGCCUGGUCAUCUGGUCACCCCUUGAGCAAGAGGCUGGACCCGUUACACCAAGCACAUGGACUGCAGGUGAGAGAAGAGUUGGGUCCCAGGGCAGAUGGGGUGGAGUGGAGGCCCACAGAGCAUGACACCCACUCAUCAAAGAGCCCAAGAGAGGCCUUCCUUGACAAGGGCUCCGGUGGCUGUGCCAUUUGCUGUAGCUUCUGCAUCUGGGUCCAUGCGGACACAGAUGGGGAAGUAAUAGGUGCUUCUGAGACAGGUUUCGAUGAUCUGGGUGAUUCUUCAGCAGACCUAGAGGUGGACAUCAGGAACACCUGGUCCAGACCGCCAUCCUUGCUCACUUGGAUCAUGGGACUCCUGACUUGUCUCCUCCCUCCAGUCCCACCCACCAUGGUCCACUGCUGCACCAGCAGCCAGGCUGUCAUGAACUGAGCGGCUCUGCUCCACCACACCCUUCCACCAUGAUGUUUCUGUCUUGGAGCAGCCAACCAUGGACUGAAUCCCCCAAACCGUGAGCCAAAUUAGACCUAUCUUUCUCUAAGUUGUGGGGGUCAGAUGUUGUGUCUCAGCAAUGUGAAAGCUGCUAAUACAAAACUCUUCCUCGAAGAAACAAACAGGUAUAAACACAGGUGAAUGAGGGUAUGAAUUUAGAAGUAGGUAACUAAGAGCAGAACUGCACUUUAGAGCUGAUUUCCCAGCUCUGGCUGCAGGCAGGAACUCCAGGCUUCCACCUCAGCCCCUCACUCAGAGCUUUGACCUGGGCCUGAGAUACAGACUUCAUACACCUGGUGGUUGGGGCUGAGUGCUUCUGCAUGUGCGGCCCCAGACUGUCAGCAUUGGCUUCACCUGCAGACGUCCAUGGUUCUCAGGCUGCACAGUAACCACGCGGUGCAGGAGGCACAGGUCCCAGGUGCUGCUGCUGCUGCCACAGACAGGGUUACACUCUGACCCUGGAGUCCUCUGCCUGCUGAUCCUCUGUGGAGAGAGGAGACCGGAGCUUGCUGGUCUCAGGUAGGAAGCCCUUGGCAGUGGCACUGAGCUGCCCUGUCAACUGUCCUUUCCCUUGAUUCCUGUGUCUGUAGAUGAGGUUCUGAGGCCUAGGAGGAGCACACUUUGCUCAAAUCCUGAGAUCCACCUUGGAAAAGCCACAUGGGCAGGGUGUCUCUUGAGCGUCGUGGUGUGCCAAGGGCUUCGGGCAGGCCUCUGCAGCCUAAGGUAGGGUCUCUGGAGAAAGGUGGGGCUCAGCAACAACCCACCUGGCCCAAGGCCAGCAAGGGCUAGCCAGGCACCCCGCCCCCUGCCCUCAUGGAGGAAGCAGCUCUUCUGUGCCUCCUGCGCCCUGGGAGAAGUGGCGAGGAGCAAGCCAGGCAAAGGAAGCCGCUGCUGGCACCCCGUCACCUCCACCCCUGGGAGCUUCCUGCCUGGGUGUACUGAGCUCCACACAGCCUCUCCUGCUGUCUCUGGAGAUGGUGGGAAGACAGUGGCUGGGACCAGCAGCCACUCCCCCUCCUCCACAGUGCCAUCCUCAGGAAACCAGGCUCAGCCUGGGCAGGGAGCUUGGAGUGGCCUGCACCGGCCAUGUGACUCUGUUCCCCUGGGAAGAUGGGGAGAACUGGCAUGGCAGUGACUC